rnacentral:rRNA from 1 species
AACGAGUACUUUCCUUGUCCGGAAGGACUGGGUAAUCUUGUGAAACUUCGUCGUGCUGGGGAUAGAGCAUUGCAAUUAUUGCUCUUCAACGAGGAAUUCCUAGUAAGCGCAAGUCAUCAGCUUGCGUUGACUACGUCCCUGCCCUUUGUACACACCGCCCGUCGCUACUACCGAUUGAAUGGCUUAGUGAGGCCUCCAGAUUGGCUA